rnacentral:rRNA from 1 species
AAUUUGUAAGCUAAAUUACAGUUCUGUUUUGGAAUUGAACACCUUCCAAUCCAUUGCAUUUCAUGUUAUGGUUGGAUAGGAAAUUAAAUCGGCACAGAUUUGUGCCAAGAAAAUAUGAAUAUUUUGAGUUUACUGAUUUCUUUUUCAAGGAGUUUUACUUCUUGGAUUGAUGCAGUUUGCUCCAUUAUAUUUUGUAUGACUCUUGACAAUGGAUAUCUUGGCUCUUGCAUCGAUGAAGAGCGUAGCGAAAUGCGAUACAUGGUGCGAAUUGCAGAAUCCCGUGAACCAUUGAGUUUUUGAAUGCAAGUUGCGCCCAAGGUCUUGCAGGCCAAAGGCACGUCUGCCUGGGAAUCAAAUAGUUCAUCGCUCUAUUAUUUAUCAUUAAAUUAAAAAAAUGAUAUUUAUAGAAGCGGAGUGUGGCCUGCUGCGUGUGGUGCGCUGUGGGAUCAAGAUUUAGUUGAUUUCCUUUAAAACUACAAUCGAUAAUUGGGUGGUAGUGUAUCCUUUUCACGACCUUUAUAAUCGUUUGAUGUUAAUGGAAGUCUAUUAAAGAAACUUGGCGCUUACGUUGUUGUUGGUGGCCUGUAAAAAUGUGACCCCAGGAUAGGCGGGAUAACCCGCUGAGUUUAAGCAUAUAAAUAA